AUCCAGUCAGCCAUGGAUCAAUUGGAAGCAUUCUCUCCUCCGAGUUCGAAGGUUAUGGGUUUAAGUCCUUCGGGACUUUGAGCUCAAAAAUCGAAGUUGACUCUCCAGUGCUGGACUGUUGAAAGUGCCAUUUUUUGAAAGAGGUAUUCAAUGGAGGCUCUGCCUGCUCCAUCUCAGCUUUCAGAAAUACAAAUCUGCUGUGAUAUUAAUCUUGGUGAAUUGAUGUUGGAAGAGGGUGUGCUGAGGUAUGGGAGCUGGGGAGAGAGUCCAGUCUUUACUGAAAGGACAUGUUUCAAAAGCAGCAAAUAAAUUGACCAGAAACUGAACUGGUCCAGCCAUAUAAUUACUGUGACUA